UUUAAUUGAAGAGUUUGAUCAUGGCUCAGAUUGAACGCUGGCGGCAGGCCUAACACAUGCAAGUCGGGCGGUAACAGGAAAGCGCUUGCGCUUUUGCUGACGAGCGGCGGACGGGUGAGUAAUGUCUGGGGAUCUGCCCGAGGGCGGGGGAUAACCACUGGAAACG
rnacentral:rRNA from 1 species